UACGUAGGGUCCGAGCGUUGUCCGGAAUUACUGGGCGUAAAGAGCUCGUAGGUGGUUUGUCGCGUUGUUCGUGAAAACUCACAGCUUAACUGUGGGCGUGCGGGCGAUACGGGCAGACUAGAGUACUGCAGGGGAGACUGGAAUUCCUGGUGUAGCGGUGAAAUGCGCAGAUAUCAGGAGGAACACCGGUGGCGAAGGCGGGUCUCUGGGCCGAUAUUGACGCUGAGGAGCGAAAGCGUGGGGAGCGAACAGG
rnacentral:rRNA from 1 species